CUUUCUUUCUCUAAUUGUCUUCAAAUUCCUCUCGUUCCCUUUUUCUUAUAAGCUAGGAAUUUAUAGUUCUAGCGACUAGAAGAUUUGGAUCAAAGAGUAACUGAGCUAUUGGGGUUGAUCCAUCUGAUGUUUGUGGCCCUAUGUCCACGUCAUCAAGAGGAGGCUUCUCAUAUUUUAUAACGUUCGUCGAUGAUCACUCUGGGUUAGGCUAUGUGUAUCUCAUAAAGCACAAGUCUGAAUCCUUUGAAAAGUUUGAGGAAUUCAAGAAUGAGGUUGAGAAGCAAACAAGAAAGAGUAUAAAGAUUCUAAGAUCGGAUCGAGGAGGUGAAUACUUGAGUAUAGAGUUUCUUGAUUAUCUGAAGGAACAUAGCAUCAUUUCUCAAUGGACUCCACCAGGGACUCCACAACUCAAUGGAGUUUCUAAAAGGAGAAAUCAAACCUUGAUGGGCAUAGUUCGUUCCAUGAUGAGUUAUAUUGAUUUACCUAUAUCCUUUUAGGGAUAUGCACUCCUCAUUAUAGUUUACCAGCUGAACCUGAUGCAGAUAUGUAACACUUCGUCCCAAAAAUCACUAUUCAAUUGAUUAUUUAUUGUGAAAUUUCAUUUUUUCCCGUGGGUGUACGGGCAGUUUAGUUACUUUUUGUUCUGG
rnacentral:lncRNA from 1 species